rnacentral:lncRNA from 1 species
GAAAGAACCUUUUCAAAAUUAACUAUUAACAAACAGGAAAAUACAAAUAAAACAUAUUUAACAAAUUUAACAAACAAAACAUAUUUGUUGCAUAUGAAAUCCAUGCAUUUAGAAACGAGAAAUUAAUUGAAAGGCCCACAGUUUAAUUAAUCAUCAGAAACUACCUUGAAUUUCAAUUAAAUCAAUGUAGCCUUUACAAAUAUAGAUGGUGAUAUAAAACUUUACACUAAAAAGCAGAUGGAAAAUAACUUUUUUCAUGGGAAAUAUAUGAAUAUACACGAAUAAGGAGAUGGUGAAGAACUAAUUACAAUCAUUUUUUACUAACAUAAUAAAACUUCUGACAUUUUUCUACCAAAAACCUAACAUAUUCAAUGAUUUUUUUUAGUGUACAUGUGUUAUGCAAUUUUAAAUACUGUAAAAUGGGAAUUUUGAUCAGGGAUUUAUUUUUUUUAUUGCAGAUUCGUAUAUAAAAUCAUGAGAAUAUCCCCUUAAUAAAUUUAAGCUUGAAGACAGACUAGAAUCAAAGUUGAGGAAGGCACAAAAUUAAUACCUUAUUAUACUUCUUUGGCCUUUCAAAAUAAGAACUUUUAACAUGAAAAUACACCAUUUUACAGUUUAAUUCUUUAAGGCACAAUAAUUUGAGCUGCUUGUGUCAAAGACACUUUUAAAACAAACUUAACAAUUGAACAAUAUUGAUCCAAAAUAUGGAAUCAACAUAUUCAUUUGACAAAAUGGAUUCACAACAUCUAGGCCAUAAAAAAGAAUAGGUUUGUUUGCCCAAACCCUACCUACCCAAAAAAAAGCUGCCUACUCAAAUUCUUUUAUUGUCCUGAUUUGAAGAAGUUUUUUUUUAAUCAGAUAGGCAUGAAGACUAAUAAACAUCUAAUACUUCAAUUUCUUUAAAAAAAAAAAAAAAUGCAUACCUUCCUACCUACCCACUGUCUCAAUCUUGAGUAGGGUUUUGGGCAAAGCAAAAUAUUUUUAAUUGUGGCCCUAUGAUUAUUGCAUUUUUUCGUCUUUAUUUGAUUAUUAGUAGUAGGCCUUUCCUUGGUCUUUUUGUGUAUUGAAUAAAGGCCAUCCAGAAUUUCUCUUGAUGUUCAUGUUCAUUACUCCCGGUGGAGGACCACCCCUGA